AUGGAGUCAUUUGCGAACCCGUCGCGUCCUCCGCUGUUCUCUGGGAGUGACUGGCCGUUUUGGAAGUCUCGGAUGAAAACAUUUCUUGAAGCUCAAAGCUAUGCAAUAUGGCAAAUUGUUGUGCGAGAUUUUGCAAUACCUGCUCGUGUUGGUCCUGAGAAUAUAGUUGAUGUUGAAAAUAAUUCCAAAGCUAUUAACAUUCUCUUGUCAGGUUUGGAUAGGAGAGAGCAUGAGCGUGUUGCACACCUAGACACAUCCCACAAAAUUUGGUCCACUCUCAUCACUUACCACGAGGGCACUAGUGAGAUUAAGACAGCUCGUCAGGACAUUUACAAAGCCGAGUACAACAAAUUUGAGCAGUUACCUAGUGAGUCUCUAGAGGACAUGUUUGGUAGGUUUGAGGUCAUAGUUGGGAAAUUGAGGGGUGUUGGGGUUGUGUACACUGAGUCUGAGAAAGCUAGACACAUCCUAAACUCUCUUGACCCAAUCUAUGAGAUGAGAAAGAUCGCGAUUCAAGAGUCCCAUAAACCUGAUGAGCUCACUGUAGACAUGUUGUUCUCCAAGCUUAAAACUCACCAAAUAGCCAGUGAAGGUAGAAACCCACCUAGGAACAAGACUCUUGCACUAGUUGGUAGUGAAUGCCAAACUGCACAUGGUCCCUCUAGUGUUUCUGAGUCUGGCAGUGGUCUUUCUUCUGGUUUUUCAUUUGCUUGUUUGGUUUCAGUCUCUGAUGAACAACUUGAAUCUUUUCCUGAGGAUGAUCUUGCUCUUUUUGUCCGCCGUUUUUCCCGAGCUUAUAAAAACGUGAGAGAAAGGAAAGGCAAACACACAAAAAUCUGUUUUGAGUGUGGUGUGCAGGGGCACUACAGGUCUGAUUGU
rnacentral:rRNA from 1 species